rnacentral:rRNA from 1 species
GUGCCAGCCGCCGCGGUAAUACGUAGGGGGCUAGCGUUGUCCGGAAUUACUGGGCGUAAAGGGCGCGCAGGCGGUUAGAUAAGUCAUACGUGAAAGGCACUGGCUCAACUGGUGUAGGUCGUGUGAAACUGUCUAGCUUGAGUGCAGUAGAGGAAAGUGGAAUUCCUAGUGUAGCGGUGAUAUGCGUAGAUAUUAGGAGGAACACCAGUGGCGAAGGCGACUUUCUGGGCUGCAACUGACGCUGAGGCGCGAAAGCUGGGGGAGCGAACGGGAUUAGAUACCCCGGUAGUCCCAGCCGUAAACGAUGAUCACUAGGUGUAGGAGGUAUCGACCCCUUCUGUGCCGAAGCAAACGCAUUAAGUGAUCCGCCUGGGGAGUACGUCCGCAAGGAUGAAACUCAAAGGAAUUGACGG